rnacentral:tRNA from 1 species
AAGGAUGUGUAAGCCCACAGUAAACACUGCUAAUGUUUACUUACCAUGGUUAAACUCCAUGGCUUCCUCA